GCCGCCGCAUCCUGCUCCUGCCGGAUCCCCAGGACCACCGGAGGAGGACGCAUCCCUAGGAGCCACCGAGCGUCCGAGGCCAAGCCAGGAGUCCAAGUCUCCACUAUCUAGGACCGGCACUCCCCACUCCGGCACUCCCCAGGACCACCGGAGUCCGACUGCAGCGGCCAGCGGCGCAGCCUGCUCCCACCACGUACGAGGUUCCUAUCCUUGUAGGUGAGAGUCUGAUGUCUGACCAAGGUGCUUCGAGGCCGAGCAGGAGCAGUCGUCAAGUUCCCACAAAGAGCAGUGCUGUGGUUGCAGGAGGUUCCUCAAGUGCAGCUACACCGACGAGUGCUGCUGCAAAUGAAAUGCCAUCUUCAAGUGUUCAAGCUCCACCAUCAGAAGGUACAGAACAUGUGGUCGUAAAUGAUGAUGAUGAUAAUGUACAAGUUGGAUGCAAAAGGAAGCUGAAAUCUGAUGUGUGGCUUGAAUUUGAACAAGUAACAGUUGGGGGUAAAAUGAAA